UACGGGGGGAGCAAGCGUUGUUCGGAUUUACUGGGCGUAAAGGGCGCGUAGGCGGUCAGCACAAGUCAGUUGUGAAAUCUCCGGGCUUAACUCGGAAAGGUCAACUGAUACUGUACGACUAGAGUGCAGAAGGGGCAACUGGAAUUCUCGGUGUAGCGGUGAAAUGCGUAGAUAUCGAGAGGAACACCUGCGGCGAAGGCGGGUUGCUGGGCUGACACUGACGCUGAUGCGCGAAAGCCAGGGGAGCGAACGGG
rnacentral:rRNA from 1 species